rnacentral:lncRNA from 1 species
AACAACAUAUUUCAUCCUAAAAUUAUCCACCUCAUUGUCGUUAAGGCAGCUCAUAUCUGUCCCAGUAAGCAAGUGAUCAAUAAAAACACAGGCAUAUGGUCCACAUGCCGCACAAGAAUUGUUACUUGGCACAUUCUUUAGACGCUCAUAUGACCAUGCAUCAUUCAAAAAAAAUUCAGACAAAUGAUUGAACAUCCCGCUCUGCUUGAGUAGUUUGGGCCACAAUUCGAGAAUGGGCUGAAUCAAUGUAAGAAAAGUCGGCUCAUCACACAUAUGAAUAUUGCAAUCAUAAACUUGAAUCAAGCCCUCUCCAUCAAAAAUUCAAGUGCAAUAAAGUGUGUAUUCUUUAUGUUCAUCACGGUGUAAAUUCUUUUUGCUUCAUUCCACUUUCGGCCAUAUGGAUAGGGCAUUUCACCCUUACAGUACUUGAGUAUGUCACCGUCCAUCUCAAACGAUGUGAGUGCCUCAUGCAUUGGUGGAG